CAAAAGCGUAUAUUAAAGUUGUUGCAGUUAAAAAGCUCGUAGUUGAACCUUGGGCUUGGCUGGCCGGUCCAUCUUUUUUGAUGCGUACUGGACCCAGCCGAGCCUUUCCUUCUGGCUAGCCUUUUGGCGAACCAGGACUUUUACUUUGAAAAAAUUAGAGCGUUCAAAGCAGGCCUUUGCUCGAAUAUAUUAGCAUGGAAUAAUAGAAUAGGACGUUAUGGUUCUAUUUUGUUGGUUUCUAGGACCAUCGUAAUGAUUAAUAGGGACGGUCGGGGGUAUCAGUAUUCAGUUGUCAGAGGUGAAAUUCUUGGAUUUACUGAAGACUAACUACUGCGAAAGCAUUUACCAAGGACGUUUUCAUUAA
rnacentral:rRNA from 1 species